rnacentral:rRNA from 1 species
CCUACGGGAGGCAGCAGUGGGGAAUAUUGGGCAAUGUGCGCAAGCCUGACCCAGCAACGCCGCGUGAAGGAAGAAGGCUUUCGGGUUGUAAACUUCUUUUGUCAGGGACGAAGCAAGUGACGGUACCUGACGAAUAAGCCACGGCUAACUACGUGCCAGCAGCCGCGGUAAUACGUAGGUGGCAAGCGUUAUCCGGAUUUAUUGGGUGUAAAGGGCGUGUAGGUGGGAAUGCAAGUCAGAUGUGAAAACUAUGGGCUCAACCCAUAGCCUGCAUUUGAAACUGUAUUUCUUGAGUACUGGAGAGGCAAUCGGAAUUCCGUGUGUAGCGGUGAAAUGCAUAGAUAUACGGAGGAACACCAGUGGCGAAGGCGGAUUGCUGGACAGUAACUGACGCUGAGGCGCGAAAGCGUGGGGAGCAAACAGGAUUAGAUACCCUUGUAGUC